AAACUUCAAGCCCCCCCUUUAGCUUGGUGUUGGGCGUCUGUCCUCCCCCCGGGACUCGCCUCAAAUGCAUUGGCAGCCGGCACGUUGGCUUCGAGCGCAGCAGAAACGCGCGCGGCGUCUGACAGUGCCCGGCUCUCCAGGAAGCCUCCACCUCAAGUUUGA
rnacentral:rRNA from 1 species